CACCAGUGCCAAAGGCUUUUUUUCUUUUCUUUUCUUUUUUUCCUCCCCAUUGAAAGGUGAUGCUAACUAUCAUCCAACAAUCUCAUUUAUUUUAGCCUUUUCAAUUACAUGAUAUCAGGGAAAUAAUAUAAUAGAAACUUAGUCAUAUUGCAGAAGAGCAUCUGCAUAUAAUUCAUGUAAGCAAAAUUACAAAGAAGCACAUGACAUUUACGACUAACAUGAAUACUUGUGCCUCAAAUAACACAUUAAUGAUAAUCCAGAAUAAGAUGGAAACUAGUACAUCAAACAACCAAACUAAGCUACCAAUUCUAGCUAAUCCAAGAUGGCUGGAACCUCCUGACUGUCCACCUAUGUAUAUACCC